rnacentral:rRNA from 1 species
CCUACGGGUGGCUGCAGUGAGGAAUAUUGGUCAAUGGACGGAAGUCUGAACCAGCCAUGCCGCGUGCAGUAAGACGGCUCUAUGAGUUGUAACCUGCUUUUGUACAAAGGUAAACCUGAAUACGUGUAUUCAGCUGAACGUCCUGUUCCAUUAAGGAUCGGCCAACUCCGCGCCAGCAGCCGCGGUAAUACGGAGGAUCCAAGCGUUAGCCGGACUUAUUGGGUUUAAAGGGUGCGUAGGAGGAUUGAUAAGUUAGAGGUGAAAUGUUCGGGCUUAACUCGGGAACUGCCUCUAAUACUGUUGUUCUAGAGAGUAGAUGCGGUAGGCGGAAUGUAUGGUGUAGCGGUGAAAUGCUUAGAGAUCAUACAGAACACCGAUUGCGAAGGCAGCUUACCAAUCUAUAUCUGACGUUGAGGCACGAAAGCGUGGGGAGCAAACAGGAUUAGAUACCCUAGUAGUC